CUGUUCAUUUAUCAGACUAGAUACUGUAUGUUAUCAGACUAGAUACUGUAUGUUAUCAGACUAGAUACUGUAUGUUAUCUGGCUAUAGACUGUAGACUGUUCAUUUAUCAGACUAGAUACUGGAUGUUAUUUGCCUAUGAUAUGGGCUAUAGGCUGUUGACUUGUUCAUUUAUCUGACCAGAUGUGCUCAUAAGUCCCAUGUAAGAUGAUUUGAAACAGGUCCGAUACACGAGAAUGAGAGUUAUUUGGCAACUUUAGUUAGCCUCAGGCUGCACACGCUGUUCUCUCAUCAAGUGAUCAUAUUUUCACAUCAGACUAUUCUCAAUUUAAUACUGUCUUUGCUAAUAUGAAAAAUGAGUUGAGAUUUAGAAUGGCCCAUUAUGAAAUGGACAGGCACAGGAAACACAUGCCAUCUGUACGCACUGGAAUAGCGAAUGGAGGUCGAGCUCUUUCCCACCAGUCCACUGGAAUAGCGAAUGGAGGUCGAGCUCUUUCCCACCAGUCCACUGGAAUAGCGAAUGGAGGUCGAGCUCUUUCCCACCAGUUCACUGGAAUAGCGAAUGGAGGUCGAGCUCUUUCCCACCAGUCCACUGGAAUAGCGAAUGGAGGUCGAGCUCUUUCCCACCAGUCCACUGGAAUAGCGAAUGGAGGUCGAGCUCUUUCCCACCAGUCCACUGGAAUAGCGAAUGGAGGUCGAGCUCUUUCCCAUCAGUCCACUGGAAUAGCGAAUGGAGGUGGAUCUCUUUCCCACCUGUCCACUGGAAUAGCGAAUGGAGGUCGAGCUCUUUCCCACCAGUCCACUGGAAUAGCGAAUGGAGGUCGAGCUCUUUCCCACCAGUCCACUGGAAUAGCGAAUGGAGGUCGAGCUCUUUCCCACCAGUUCACUGGAAUAGCGAAUGGAGGUCGAGCUCUUUCCCACCAGUCCACUGGAAUAGCGAAUGGAGGUCGAGCUCUUUCCCACCAGUUCACUGGAAUAGCGAAUGGAGGUCGAGCUCUUUCCCACCAGUCCACUGGAAUAGUGAAUGGAGGUCGAGCUCUUUCCCACCAGUUCACUGGAAUAGUGAAUGGAGGUCGAGCUCUUUCGCACCAGUCCACUGGAAUAGCGAAUGGAGGUCCAUUUUGCUGCUUCGGUUUUACAGAUUCUUUUUGUUGUUGAGAAAUCUCGCAAGGAAACAUAUUUCCCUAAACUGUUGACAGCCUCUAUCUCUCUGCACUCUCCAGAAAUAAAUGAAGGAGAGAGAGGAGGAGAUGGAAACGCACGGUGGAGAGAUGGUGGACUCCUAACCCGAUCCAAACUAGAUGGAACGGGAUCAAACCAGAUUUAAAUGGACUGAAGUGAACUGGAGACUGAUUUCUUAGAUUUUGUGUUAGUUCUGAUUGUGCCCUGGAUAUACUCUCUCUCUCUCUCUCUCUCUCUCUCUCUCUCUCUCUCUCUCUCUCUCUCUCUCUCUCUCUCUCUCUCUCUCUCUC